rnacentral:lncRNA from 12 species
CUCUACUGUUUUUUCAAUACAUUCUCAUUUGUUGCCCAAGCUAGUUUAGGUUGGUUUCUGCGAUUUGCGACCAAAACUAUAGUGGCCAACACAUGUCAUAGAUGAUUGUUUAUUGAAUUGUAAUAAAAUGUUAAGGUUUAUUAUAAUAGAUGCCCAGAGAAUCAAUCUCCAAUGAGUGUUUAAAUGCUCACAAAAAUCACAAAUAGGCAUGUGUUUCUCCCACCUGCUGUGCUCUGCUCUGUGUAUUCCUGUUCUCUGAAAACCCAGCUCGGCUGUCAGUCUCCUUCUUGGGGAGGGUUUUAAGCUGUUACCGAGGAGUGAAUAGUUGAUAGGGAGGGAGAACAGGGACUUUCAGCAGCCCAGUGACAGAGAAGGCGUGGGCAAAGGAAUAGGGCAGUGAGAACAAGCAAGGAUCAAAGCCGAGAUUUUGCUGUGUUGGAGAGUAGAGAGAAGAACAACCCUCAAGUAUUUCUGUGAGGAAGUGGAGAGGCUACACAGACCCAGGCUCCCACGAACCCCCUGUGCCCCCUGGUUUUCGGCAAUGUCGCUCUUUGGCCCAGCAGCCCAAGCCCCGGCCCAGGCAUCCCGGCCCUGUUAGGUGCAGCUGGUCUCGGGCCCGUCUCAGACAUGGGGGAGACAGACGAGCUGCAGAGGGAAGUCGAUGAAAUGAAAUGAAAGCCCUACAACUGUGUUGGUGUCAGUGUAGACGCGCCCCCCCACCCUCGUUUUGCUCGCAGAGGUGGGUGUGAGAACCCAUGGGAGCGUCUGGAAGAGAUCCUGUGCAAGUCAUUCUGCCCAGAGCUGGAGGAGAAGCAAAAGCUGUCCAUGACGUGGACUCGGCCAGAGGAGGCUUGCCACACGUGUCGGGGAGCGGAGGGGUGAAGCAAAGGUCGCCAGGGAAGAGCCUGCACGCGGGUCUGUGGGUCCCUGCGAUGCCCUUGCGUUUCUUUGUACUUCACACUGUGGACAGUAGAAACAGGAGCCAAGGGGUGAAUUUAAUUUGGAACAGACCUCUGUCUUGGUGGAACCGCCUCGAACACAGCAACCUGCAGCUUCCUGAGGCCGGGCCUCAGCCGGGGCUCUCACAGGCUCCAGAAACGAAGUCCAGCCUCCACGCGUGUCAGAGCCCACCCAGCUGCCACCACCAGCCACAGUGGUGUGGGCUCCCGAGGCAGCCGGGGAGCGACGCUUCUCUCCCUGAUGUAAUCAAACUGAGUGCACGGAUAUCACUUGAUUAACAGCUGCAGUAUUAAUUUCCCUUUUUGGUUGCUUGACUCACAGCGAGAAUCAUGUCAAGGCAGCAGAGAAGCAAUUAAAUUGAUUUUAAUCUUUGUCAGAGAAGAUAACAUGCCUCUUUCUCUUCUCAUUUAAAUAAUUAAAGUUUCAGUAGGUAUUAUUUCUGGCUUUAAAGAAAUUGGUAUCUUAAUGUAAUAGAAUCCUUGUAAUUAUAUACUUAAUGGUUCUUAAUAAGUUAAUCAUGGUUUUUCAUUUAAAAUGUAUUUUUUACUUAUUAAAUUUUUUUGUUAUAGUAUCUGCUUUUAAGGAGAAGGGGGAGACACAAAGAGCGAUAGAUAUAAAACAGUUCUGUCAUUUCUCAUUAUUAAUUCUUUCAACAGCCAUCUCCUCCUCCUUUUGUGGUGCGUUGGACUUAAGUUUGAAGCAAUAUUUUUACAUUUCAGUGCAUUUAAAAGAAGCCCACUUCUUUUAAUGACAACAUAUUUAAUUUUAAUGAUGAUGGAGUUUUUGGCUUCUGUGAAAAUUUCCUUAUAGAGCCAUCCUAUGUAUUUCAAUUGUGUGGAGGCCUUGAAACUUAACAUUUCAUUAAGGCUUUAGAGAAAUGUUGAGAAAAUAUUGCGAGUGGUUUCGUUCCUCUUUGGUAUUCAGUCACACGUUAUACAGUUAUUUUACUCCUCACUCCAAUAUUGUGAAAUGUCUUGUAAAGAAAAUAGGGGUAGAAGUCACAGAUCGAGUGGCCCUCCUCAUUAGAUGCUGCAUUUCAGCUGUAAUGCAUGUGUAGCCCCCAGGAUAUUGAACAUUACACAAUUUAACUGUCAUCGACCCCCGUCGCUACCACUGGGAUGAGUGACUUCUCAAACAGAGGAAGUGUUAUCCCAGAGAGAUACUAGUUCUCCCUUCAGACCCCCAAUCAAGAAAUGAAUUUUUUUUUUUUUUCAAAAAAAGGUUUAAAAACCACCUCCUCUUUCAGGAUGGUGAAUGCUGAUCGAGGAGAGAGAGACCAUGGGCCCUCGACCAGAAACAUCGAGAUUAGGGAGAUGCAAAGCCAGCAUCCUAGAGCUGGCCCCUGUACCCCAAGUUUUGGAGGGAUGUAGUCUUCUGUAGAAAUUAAUUGAUAAAGAAGGAGUUCGUCACUUGGUAUUUUGAAAGAGAGUUUCUACAAGCUUAUAUACUAUAAAUUGCCAAGUGGCACUGCCUCUAGGUGGACAGAUUACAAAAGACCCUCUUCCUCACAGUAUGGCCAGCACAGGAUAGGCUGGAUUCCAGUCCUUACUCUUACCACUCCCCCACUCCCACCAAGCUGGGUGCUUCUCUGUAGUGCACAAUCUGCACAACUGUACAUGGUUUGAAAACAUGUGUAAGCAAGAACUAAUAGCUUCUGAAACACACUCUGAAGCAAGGAUUGAAUAGAUCAAUGCUGAUGGCAAAAAAGGUGAGCAGUAUAGACAGACAGAAGUAUCACAGAGACUGCAAAAAGAAUGCUCUAGACCAGCCCAUAGUAGACAUUUCUUGGCCAGGCUGAUUGAGGAUUAUCACUGGUUACUUAGGACUUGGAAACUUAGAAACACGGUGAAUAUCCUUUCUAGUUUGUUAUAGCAUCUGUAUAUGCAUUUCCUGUUAUAGAGUGUAAUUCAGUCGUUCCUAUUUAAUCUUGAGGCUGUUAAUCCCUAUAUGACUGUUACAUUGAAGAUUCCAAAGCUCAGAAUAUUCAAAACCAGCAUUCUUUUGAAUGAAAGGAUGGUUACACAAACAUUGAGACGUGGAAGGGAGUUGGGGGGAAAAGGGAAGGCACAUGUCAUUCCAGGCAGAAGAAAUCAGUUAGGCAAGGGUGUGGAGGUGCAUUAAGAGUAUAUGGAUUCUUUUAGGAAGUGUUAUUUUGCACCUGAUUAAAUCUGAGUGUCCCUGGAGAUACCGAGCUGAUUAUGGUACAUUCCCUGCCCCGGAGGAGCUAGAAGUAUUUUGACAUCUACCCUAUUUGAUCUUCACAGAAAUUCCAUAAAUUAAGUAGCAAAGAUCUUAUCAACUGAAAAUCACUGGGGAAGAUAUUGGAGCCUAAAAAAGUACCCAGCACUUAUGGUUACACACCUAAUUCUAGGUAAGCUGGGACUGAAACCCAGCCUCCCACUCACCAGGGUGCGUCUUUCAAGUAGAUCAUUCAACUAGACCUGUCCAGGGUGGGUCUUUCAACUAGAGGGGAAUAGCUGUUUCCUCCCUCCUGAGGAUAGGCAGCAAACUUUUUCUAAGCAUUGUUGUGAUUAUGAUUAUGAUUAUGAUUUAUCAGGCAGUAAGACAGAAGGAGGAGACUAUCAUCAGGUCCAUUCACUUCUCUUUACUAGUAGUGAAAAUUAAAGAAAAAAUUCUUGUAAAGGGAGUUAGCAGGAGUAAAUGCAGUAAAAACUAUAUGUGUGAACAGAAUAAAGUUGAUUAAAGAGUCUUGAGUAUUGCA